rnacentral:lncRNA from 1 species
AGGCUUCAGACAGGCAUGCAAGUUGCCUUUGGAAAGCCCCAGGGCACCGUGGCCAGGGUUCACAUUGGCCAAGUCAUCAUGUUCAUCCACACCAAGCUGCAGAACAAGGAGCAUGUGAUUGGGGCCCUACAUAGGGUCACGUUUAAGUUCCCUGGCCACCAGAAGGUCCACAUCUCAAAGAAGUGGGGCUUUACCAAGUUCAAUGCAGAUGAAUUUGAAUAUGUGGUGGCUGAGAAACAGCUCAGCCCAGAUGGCUGUGGGGUCAAAUCCAUCCCUAGUCAUGGCCCCCUGGAGAAGUGGCAAGCCUUGUACUCAU